rnacentral:misc_RNA from 1 species
AUGGACCGGGUGAGCCACAGCUGGUUGGAACGCAGUUCCUUGAUGUCGUUGAAGUGAGACUUGUCGAUUACUUCCUGGGUCCGCUUGUCCGCGUGGUACUCUCUUU